AUAUCAAUAAGCGGAGGAAAAGAAACCAACAGGGAUUGCCUCAGUAACGGCGAGUGAAGCGGCAACAGCUCAAAUUUGAAAUCUGGGUCUUUCAGGCUCCGAGUUGUAAUUUGUAGAAGAUGCUUCGAGUGUGGCUCCGGUCUAAGUUCCUUGGAACAGGACGUCAUAGAGGGUGAGAAUCCCGUACGUGACUGGUUGCCUUCGCUCAUGUGAAGCUCUUUCGACGAGUCGAGUUGUUUGGGAAUGCAGCUCAAAAUGGGUGGUAAAUUUCAUCUAAAGCUAAAUAUUGGCCAGAGACCGAUAGCGCACAAGUAGAGUGAUCGAAAGAUGAAAAGCACUUUGGAAAGAGAGUUAAACAGUAC
rnacentral:rRNA from 1 species